AUCAGUAUUUUCGAAAAAUAUUUUUUUCUCAAAUUCUUGUACGAAUUUGGAAAAACGCUGAUAUAGGUGUCCCACGAAAUUGUCUAUGGAUUAUGUGUACAAAUAUUCAAAAUGAUAUCUGCUCUAUUUGUUGAGUUCUGAACUUUGUGUCGAAUAAAUAGGAAAAAAAAAUCAGUAUUUUCGAAAAAUAUUUUUUUCUCAAAUUCUUGUACGAAUUUGGAAAAACGCUGAUAUAGGUGUCCCACGAAAUUGUCUAUGGAUUAUGUGUACAAAUAUUCAAAAUGAUAUCUGCUCUAUUUGUUGAGUUCUGAACUUUGUGUCGAAUAAAUAGGAAAAAAAAAUCAGUAUUUUCGAAAAAUAUUUUUUUCUCAAAUUCUUGUACGAAUUUGGAAAAACGCUGAUAUAGGUGUCCCACGAAAUUGUCUAUGGAUUAUGUGUACAAAUAUUCAAAAUGAUAUCUGCUCUAUUUGUUGAGUUCUGAACUUUGUGUCGAAUAAAUAGGAAAAAAAAAUCAGUAUUUUCGAAAAAUAUUUUUUUCUCAAAUUCUUGUACGAAUUUGGAAAAACGCUGAUAUAGGUGUCCCACGAAAUUGUCUAUGGAUUAUGUGUACAAAUAUUCAAAAUGAUAUCUGCUCUAUUUGUUGAGUUCUGAACUUUGUGUCGAAUAAAUAGGAAAAAAAAAUCAGUAUUUUCGAAAAAUAUUUU